rnacentral:rRNA from 1 species
AUUGAACGCUGGCGGCAGGCCUAACACAUGCAAGUCGAGCGGAUGAAGGGAGCUUGCUCCUGGAUUCAGCGGCGGACGGGUGUGUAAUGCCUAGGAAUCUGCCUGGUAUUGGGGGAUAACGUCCGGAAACGGGCGCUAAUAUCGCAUACGUCCUGAUGGAGAAAGUGGGGGAUCUUCGGACCUCACGCUUUCAGAUGAGCCUAGGUCGUAUUAGCUAGUUGGUGGGGUAAGGGCCUACCAAGGCGACGAUCCGUAACUGGGCUGAGAGGAUGAUCAGUACCACGGAAAUGGAACAAGGGUCAGACUCCUACGGGAGGCAGCAGUGGGGAAUAUUGGACAAUGGGCGAAAGCCUGAUCCAGCCAUGCCGCGUGUGUGAAGAAGGUCUUCGGAUUGUAAAGCUCUUUAAGUUGGGAGGAAGGACAGUAAGAUAAUACAUUGCUGUUUUGACGGUACCAACAGAAUAAGCACCGGCUAACUUCGUG